rnacentral:rRNA from 1 species
UACAGAGGUGGCAAGCGUUGUUCGGAAUUACUGGGCGUAAAGGGCGCGUAGGCGGCCUACUAAGUCAGACGUGAAAUCCCCCGGCUUAACCUGGGAACUGCGUCUGAUACUGGAAGGCUUGAGGAUGGGAGAGGGAUGUAGAAUUCCAGGUGUAGCGGUGAAAUGCGUAGAUAUCUGGAGGAAUACCGGUGGCGAAGGCGGCAUCCUGGACCAUUCCUGACGCUGAGGCGCGAAAGCUAGGGGAGCAAACGGG